rnacentral:rRNA from 1 species
UAACAUGAGAGUUUGAUCCUGGCUCAGGACGAACGCUGGCGGCGUGCCUAAUACAUGCAAGUCGUACGAACCGAAGGG